GUGAAGGAUGCCGGGUGUGUGAGGGAAGUCAGAUGUGUAUGGUAGCCAGAUAUGAAUGUAUGGUGGGAUGUGUGUGUGUAUGUGUGUGUGUAUGUGUGUGUGUGUUUGGGAGGGAAACCACGUGUGUAAAGUGUGUAGGAAGUCAGGUAUAUGUGAGCGUUGGAGGAGGGAGAGGCAGAUGUGUGUGUAAUAAAAGUGGGAAAAGUUAGAUAGGGAGAAAAGGAAAAAGAUGUGAGUGGGUGAGCGGGGAAAGCCAGGUGUAAAAGCCAGGUAUUUACGAGGGAAGCCAGGUGUGAAGACCAUCCCGGGAUCAAAGAGAGCGUGAGGAAUGAGGAAAAAACGGGGCGAGGAAAACGAGAGGAGCAGAUAAAAGAGUGAGGAAAAAGUGAGUGAAGGAGGAGGAGAAGGAAAGGAAAAGAAAAGAGUGUGAGGCAAAAACGGGUGGAGGAAAACGAGAGGAAUAGAUAAAAAAGUGAAGAUAGAAGUGAAUAAAGGGAAGAAGAGAAGGAAGUAAAAAAAAUAGGUAAGAGAGGAAAAGGAGAGGAAAAAGGAAAAAAUUGAGGUAAAAGCGAAAGGGGAGAAUCGGAGGAGGGAAAGGAAAAGGUAAGGAAAAUAAAUUGGAGCAGAAAGAGAGGGAAGGAAAAGGCAGCAGAAGGAGAGAAGUAAAUGUAGGGAAAGGAGAGGAAAAGGAAAACAAGUGAGGUAAAAGCGAAAGGAGAGAAAGGGAGGAGGGAAAGGAAAAGGUAGGGAGAAGAAAUUGGAGCAGAAAGAGAGGGAAGGAAAAGGCAGUAGAAGGAGAGAAGUAAAUGUAGGGAAAGGAGAGGAAAAAGGAAAAAAGUGAGGUAAAAGCGAAAGGAGAGAAAAGAAGGAGGGAAAAAAACACAAUAGGAGGAGAGAGCAAUUAUAUGAAAAGGAGUUGAAGGACAAAACAGUUGGAGGAAAAAAACAGGGAAAAAAAAACGAGAGAGGAGAAGAAAGGAAAGAGGGAAGAAAGAUAGAGGAACACAAAAACGGAGAGGAAUGUGGUAGAGAGAGAGAGAGAGAGAGAGAGAGAGAGAGAGAGAGAGAGAGAGAGAGAGAGAGAGAGAGAGAGAGAGAGAGAGAGAGAGAGAGAGAGAGAGAGAGAGAGAGAGAGA